UCUAAUCAAACAUCUGUCUUUCAUUUCUCCAUUUCAAUAUUUAUAAUAAAAGCAAGAAAACAUUUUAAAUUAUACCAUGUAACUUUUAUCAUAUUUCACAUCCAUCCAAUUCAAAAUGUCUGAGGAUAAUUGCAACGAUAACAAAAAUAUGCAGAUGAGAUGUCUACCGUGUGUGAUGCCGUAUACUGAGGAUAUCGAAAAUCUAGGACAAGCUGCUGCUAAGGGAAAGACUGGGAAGAAUCAACCUAAUGGUCAAUGUCACGGAAAGAUUGAUGACGUAGACGGUUCAUGUCAGUGCACCCCUGAACGACCUUGCUGCAAUUUCGAAGACGUUGAGAAACCAGAAGAACCAUAAAACAUUGAACCAAACAUUUCAUAAAUUAUAGCUAAAGCAAAAUCAAAUCAUGGACGAUCUUACUUCUUGUCUAUUAGAUGAAGUAAAACGUAAUGUAACUAAAAGAAAUGACACAAAAGGUUGUAAUGAAAAUUAUCGUUUGGGACUUCUUAAAGAUACAAAAGUAAACAAGAAUAAUACAAGUAGCGUCAUCUAUGUAAAGCCAUGUGAAAACAACGAUUCCUGCAGUACAAAGUGUAAUUUCUACAAGAGGCAUGUUUCCACACCGUUCCUCUGCUCGGAAAAAAUAAAGAACCCUGUGAUCGUAAAGGAGGAGGACAGAAUCGAAGAAAAUUAAAUGUAUAAAAGUACUGUGAACUACACAAGUGUAAUAAAGUAAAUUAAUACUA